rnacentral:RNase_P_RNA from 1 species
GUAGCAGGCCAACCUAUCGCGGUUUAAUUUAUUAAAACGAGGAAAGUCCGGACACCAUAGUGCAGUAUAGCGGGUAACGCCCGUCCGCCGAGAGGUGAGGACAAGUGCAACAGAAAGCAAGUACAGUUCGGCUGUAGUGAAACCAGGUAAACUCUAUACGGUGAAACGUCAUGUAAACCGACGUUUGAGGGCGGCACGCCCAAGUCGAAGGGUAGGCGGUUAGAUCCUUUGGGUAACUAAGGGCCUAGAUAAAUGAUAGGUAAUUUAGAACGCAGUUCUAGAUACAGAAUCCGGCUUAUGGCCUGCUUUUUCA